GGGCGUAAAGCGCGCGCAGGCGGCCUUUUAAGUCUGAGGUGAAAGCCCACGGCUUAACCGUGGAGGGUCAUUUGGAAACUGGAAGGCUUGAGUGCAGAAGAGAAGAGCGGAAUUCCACGUGUAGCGGUGAAAUGCGUAGAGAUGUGGAGGAACACCAGUGGCGAAGGCGGCUCUUUGGUCUGUAACUGACGCUGAGGCGCGAAAGCGUGGGGAGCGAACAGGAUUAGAUACCCUGGUAGUCCACGCCGUAAACGAUGAGUGCUAAGUGUUGGGGGGUUUCCGCCCCUCAGUGCUGCAGCUAACGCAUUAAGCACUCCGCCUGGGGAGUACGGCCGCAAGGCUGAAACUCAAAGGAAUUGACGGGGGCCCGCACAAGCGGUGGAGCAUGUGGUUUAAUUCGAAGCAACGCGAAGAACCUUACCAGGUCUUGACAUCCCGCUGACCGGUCUGGAGACAGAUCUUCCCCUUCGGGGGCAGCGGUGACAGGUGGUGCAUGGUUGUCGUCAGCUCGUGUCGUGAGAUGUUGGGUUAAGUCCCGCAACGAGCGCAACCCUUGAUCUUAGUUGCCAGCAUUUAGUUGGGCACUCUAAGGUGACUGCCGGUGACAAACCGGAGGAAGGUGGGGAUGACGGUCAAUCAUCAUGCCCCUUAUGACCUGGGCUACACACGUGCUACAAUGGAUGGUACAAAGGGCUGC
rnacentral:rRNA from 1 species